GAUUAAAAUUUAUUUAUUAAUUUAAAAAUUGUUGGUUUUAUUUGUUUUAAUAAAAAUAAUUUUAAUAAAAAUUUGUUUUAGUCUUGUAUAAAGAAAAAAUAUAUUUAAUAAUAGUUUAUUAGUAUUGUAAAAGAAAAUUGAAAUAAAUUGAAAAAUUUUUAUUUAAAAAGAAGAUUUAACUUAUCGUACCUUGUGUGUCAGGGUUUAUCAAAUAAAAAAUAAUUAUUUAUUUUUCUCGAGUUUAAGAGAUUUAAUUUCUUAUUUUAGUUACUGUGGCAUAAGUAUUAAAAAUGAAUUAUUAGAAAUGAAACGUUAAUCGUUCUUAAAUAUAUCUAGUUUUCUAAGAAAUAAAUUUAAUUUAUAUAUUUUUAAUUAAAUUAUUUUAUUUUUUAAAUAAUUUAAUUUAUUAAUAUAAAUAUUUUAAGGGAUGAGCUUUAAAGUAAAUUUCUAUAAUUUAUUUAAUCAAAAUAUAAUUGUAGGCUUAGAAAUAGUCAACAUUAAUAAUUUUGUUAUAAUUUAUUUUAUAUUUUUUAUUAUUUAGUUAAAGUUUAGGGUUUUAUUAGAAUAUUCAUCUUAAUAAAAUAAAUGAAUUAAUAAUGAUAAAAUUAGUAUAUUAAAAUUUAAAAAUAUUUUAAAAAUGUCAGGUUUUUAUAAUGAAUUCGGCAAAUUUAUAUGUUCACCUGUUUAUCAAAAACAUGUCUUUUUAGAAUUUUAUAAAAAGUCUAACCUGCCCACUGAAAAUUUAUAUUAAAGGGCCGCGGUAUUUUGACCGUGCAAAGGUAGCAUAAUCAUUAGUCUUUUAAUUGGAGGCUUGUAUGAAUGGUUGGAUGAGGCAUAUGCUGUAUCAUAAAAAUUAAUAGUUGAAAUUUAUUAUUUAGUCAAAAAGCUAAAAUAAUAUUAAAAGACGAGAAGACCCUAUAAAGCUUUAUAUUUUUAUUUUAUUAUUUAUAAAGAAUAGUUUAAAUUUUAUUUAUAAAAUUAUUUUGUUGGGGUGACAUUAAGAUUUAAUAAACUCUUAAAUUUAUUAAACAUUGAUUUAUGAAUUAUUGAUCCGAUUUUAUCGAUUAAAAAUUUAAGUUACUUUAGGGAUAACAGCGUAAUUUUUUUAAAGAGUUCUUAUCGAUAAAAAAGAUUGCGACCUCGAUGUUGGACUAAGAGUAUUUUUAGGUGCAGAAGCUUAAAGUUUGGGUCUGUUCGACCCUUGAAUUCUUACAUGAUCUGAGUUCAGACCGGCGUAAGCCAGGUUGGUUUCUAUCUUUAUUAAGAUAAAAUAUUUUAGUACGAAAGGACCAAAUAUUUAAAUUAUAAAAUUUUAUUUUUUGAAUUCAAUUAAAAAUAUAAAAAAUUAUCAAUAACAGUUAAAUGAAAAUUAAAA
rnacentral:rRNA from 1 species